CCCCUCUCAAAAUCGAUCUGGUCAAAACCAGUACGCUAAGCAGGCCCUAAAUGAAACAUUUGACUCAGAAAUCCAUUUACCGUAAAAUUUGAUCCCAUUUUCCCAUCCAGAAAUUACCUUUCUCAAUUUUGCUGCUUUUACAAAUCUGAUAUGGCGUCACCGUCUGAUCCAUCCAAACAGUAAGUGCUUUCGAAAGCUUUCUAGAUCUUCGUUUCGUUUUUGAAUUGAAUUGUAUUGAAUGUUAUUAAAGGAACGUUGUAAGGAAGCAAAACAAAGGUGCCCCGAUCAAAUUCUUGGUUCCUCUAAUAUAUGCACCAGUUCUUCCUCUUAGUAAGAUUUUUUCCCCGUCAAAGAUAUUUUCAUUUAAUUUUAAUUGUCGAUACGCUAUACUUUUCCAGUAUGUGAUUUGUUUAGUGAAUAUCAAUUAAUUAGUGUACUUUCCGAACAGUUCGGCUAACGCUCCGCCACAGGCCGGUUUUGAGGGAUCGAUUAUUUACUGGGGUUCUGGCUGGAGCCUUCGCUCAUGGGUUAUACUUGGUGUAUCCUUUUUUCAUUAAUAAGUUGAUGUAAUUUUUAGCGCCUUUAUGUUUUUGCCUGCUUUUAUUUCCUUCAUCGUGCAUCAUGGGUGACUUUGGAUUCACUGAUAAGUGGUUAGGGUUUUCCAACAAUUGUAGGAUCAAAGUUUUAAUCUAUUGGGCAACAUUUGAAUGCCUGUAACUAAAUGUAGAGCUAAAACUUGGGGUCUUGGACUCUUACUUGGUGUGACGGUGCAAAAAGUAGAUGGGGAAGGUGGAUUGGAUUCUAGACAAUCAGCUGUUCUGAUGGUGUAAUCUUUCUCCUUUUUUACAACUAGAUGCUAGUAUACCAUUCAAAACCGUUGUAAUAUCAAUCAUGGAAUUCCCAACUUAGCAAAUUUUCUCAUUUCAUAAUAUAUACACGCAACAUUUUCCCUUCAGUGCAAUCACAUUGGUUUUUCCUAAGGGCGGAAGGCCUUAAGCUCCGGUGAAAUCCCUGUAUCAAUAACCAUUGAAGGUUAUAGAAUAAAUACAGGUAAAAGAGAUAAUAUUUUUGCUUUGACACACAGCUGAUGUAGAAGUUCAGAUCAGUGCUCUAAGUAAUCUCAUACGAUGUAUAGCCAAGAUGUGAUAUAUAGGUUGGAGAUACAAUGUAGAUAAAAAGGGUCUACAUAUGUGGAGAACUGCUGACAAUGCCAUCGAACUUAGAAUGUAUAUAAAGGAAAGAGAGAACUGCUGAAUGGUAGGUGAGAGCGGUAAUACACGGGAAAUUGGUAUUAUUUAAGUUGAUUAUGAAAGAUACGGAGGAAAGAUCUUCAUUUAUUAAUAUUAAUUUUUGGAAAAGGAAAUUCUGAAUUUUGCCAAGGAUAAAAGCAUGACAUGCUACUGUGCCGUCAUGUUAAUUUUGCUCUACCUCCUGUUUUGCCGACCUAUUUUACUAAAAUGGUAUUUCCCUUAUGAAUGAGGGGUUAUUCAGACCUUUGCAUUACAUGCUUCAACCAGCUACAUUGCACAUCCCUAAUUUACUCCAGUUUGUGUCAUCUGCAUCCUUUGGUCUAUAUUUUCUUUGCUCUCCUUAUCUAUUCUAGCAUGACUGCACAUUCAUUUGAACAUCUUCAUUUGUGCUAUGUUAGUCUUGUGAAAAUUUUCUCCUUUAAGGACCAACAUUUUUCUUAUGUAGCAUAGACGGUGUAUAACCGUUGUUUAGAACGUGCCUUUUUUUAACAUUAGAGAUUUCUCCAUAUCACAAACUUUCUGCAGUAUAUAUUCAUUUCAUACAACCUGCAGUAAACGUAUGCAUGGCAUCAUCCUCGAGUUGUCAUUCCUUGUUAAUUAUUGAACUUGAGAAACUUCCAAUCACUGUAAAUGACCACAAAAGGUCAAUUUAAGGAAAAAGCAGGACCUGUGGUCUAUUGAUAUUAUCCUUGCCACCAUUGUUGAGAAGGUAAAGCUCCUGUUUGGUUUAGCUAAAAAAUAUAUCUUUAGUAUAUGAUAAAAGUUGAUGAAAUGUGUGAUUGAAAAGUUGAUGAAAGUCGUGGGUUCCAUGAAAUGUGUGGUUAAAAAUAUGUUUGAGAAAAAAUUAGUUUUAGAAAAUGGGGGCCAAAAUAAAAGUCAAUAAUUUUAUUCUGCUUUCGAAACCUUAACUAGUUUUUAGUAAAGUUUAUCUUCACUUCGACAUUCUUUUGUUUUGAGAAACGCCUUGUUUCUUGAAAUGUAAUCCACAUUGUUUUCUUGGGCAUACAUAGCCUAUAUGUUGCCUAACUAGUUAAUUGCUGUUUUGUCGCAAAGUUGAUUUUUAAGUGGAAAAUGGGUUUAUAACUAUGAUGCACGAUGAUGAUACAUUACAUGACCUUGUUUGUGAGUUUUAGCUUACUUGGAAACAAUGGACCUGUUACUUUGAUAAAGUUGAAAUCAUUUUUCUUGUACUUCUAUUAUUUAUAUCUAGACUUUUAAGUCACCCCUAGAGCUGUUUCCUCUUCUGUUUACUUCAUGCUUCUAACUUGAUCUCUUCAGAUGAAUAUCCGCUUCUUGAGCAUUUCUUACCCAAUAAAGACAUAUAUUUUAUUAAGGUUGCUUUCGGGGCAAUUCUUUUUCUUGACCUGCUCUCUUUGGUAAACUUCCAAACGUGUCACAGUAUUUUUAAUCUUACUUCUACCUGUAGCUUUUGAAGUACACCGAUACUUGAUUUUUGGUUCACACAGUCCAAACUUCAAAGGUCAUUUUCUUACAUGCGAGAACCUAUUUGCUUAACGAAUAUGUCAGAAGGGGGAUGUAUACACUAUGUAACUAGCUCAUAACUCAAUUAUUAGCUCAUUAACGGAUGACUAAUAUGUCUUAGUGAAGUGCUGGGCUCUAGGGACUUCUUUCAUCACAGAAGUGCCACUAUUAUCGCAUUCUUUGGUUUUUGAAUAUUCAAAUGCAUGACUUCCUGACAUGGAGUUAUAUAUGGAUUCAAAUGAAUAAUAAUCACAACUUUUAGGAGUUCUCCUUGAUUUUGUGUUACCAAACACCAUAGGUCUCUGUACAGAAUUCACAUUCAAAUUUAUUAUACCAAAAUCAGUCUUGAAUGUUUCUUCUCUUGCUAAUUUCCCAAAUGAUCAUUAUCCAUCUGAAAUAAGUGCAUAUCAUACACAAUUCACCAGGAUGGUUUUCAUGAUUUUAUCUAUUAUAGCACAUCUAACUUAAUGACAUUAUCAAGUUACUUCAAGGUUCUAAUGAAAAUUGUGGUAUUUUGGAGUGUUGUCAAAGUGGUACUGGCGUCAGCAUUAAUACAACACGAGGAAGAAGUAUAGCAAAAAGAAAAUGAAAUUUAAUUGUCAAUGUUUAAGUAGUGUUCUCUAUCUUCUGCAAGCAAAAUCAUUCUCUCAAUGGUUGGCCACUUUCUGCUAGAGUCAUAGUAAUCUGCACUUGAAGAUUCCAUUUAGAAAUAUCGUUACUGAAAAUUUACUUGGAAUUGAGUUCGACAAAUUGCUUGCCUCUUUUUCAAUUUUAUGCCUGAAGUAAUCAUUUUUUUAUAGCCACCAUGGAACAUCGCGCUCCAUCUUACAUACAACAAUUUGAAUUGUUCGUCGUGGAAUCUUGUUCCUUGUAAAUGCUUGUUGGUUCUUUUGUUAUUUUUUCCUUACAGAUAUGUUUAGAACAGAUAUAUAUGACAUUGAAAGCAAGUGAAUUGGCUGAAGAAGCAUUUUCAUGAUUCUACAUCUUGUAUGGAUGGCUUAAACGUUUAUCAACUUUGGUAAACAAAUUAUUUGCUCUUGUUAUGAACACGGGGUUCUAAUUCCUCUCUCGUGGUGGAUUUCCUUUUGUUAAGAUUGUUAUAUGUGAUUGCUGAAAAUUCAGUAGUUUUAGUUUAGUUUAUAAGUUUGAGGGAGCAUAAUUAAUUAAGUAAAUUUGUUCGAGCGGAAACCUUUUAUUAGAAUUUACUGCUUACAAUUUCAGUUUGAAAAAUGAUUAUUGAAUGUGGACCAGAUAAAUAUGCCUUAAGAACAAAAAGGUGUUGAUAAAGCAGCCUGAGCAUCUUGCCUUAUCUACUAUAAUUAUUAGGAUAUCAUUUUUAUUGAAUAGAUG
rnacentral:lncRNA from 1 species